ACUCCUACGGGAGGCAGCAGUGGGGAAUAUUGCACAAUGGGCGCAAGCCUGAUGCAGCCAUGCCGCGUGUAUGAAGAAGGCCUUCGGGUUGUAAAGUACUUUCAGCAGUGAGGAAGGCGGAGUCGUUAAUAGCGGCCUCGUUUGACGUUAGCUGCAGAAGAAGCACCGGCUAACUCCGUGCCAGCAGCCGCGGUAAUACGGAGGGUGCGAGCGUUAAAUCGGAAUUACUGGGCGUAAAGCGCAUGCAGGUGGUUUGUUAAGUCAGAUGUGAAAGCCCGGGGCUCAACCUCGGAAUUGCAUUUGAAACUGGCAGACUAGAGUACUGUAGAGGGGGGUAGAAUUUCAGGUGUAGCGGUGAAAUGCGUAGAGAUA
rnacentral:rRNA from 1 species